rfam:Faecalibacterium prausnitzii SL3/3 draft genome.
CCGGACACCUUAGCAGGGCCGCACCGUAAAGCGACCCCGCCCCACUACCCC